rnacentral:rRNA from 1 species
UACGGAGGAUCCAAGCGUUAUCCGGAUUUAUUGGGUUUAAAGGGUGCGUAGGCGGCUUUGUAAGUCAGUGGUGAAAUACUCCAGCUUAACUGGAGGGGUGCCAUUGAUACUGCGGAGCUUGAGUACAGAUGAGGUAGGCGGAAUUGACGGUGUAGCGGUGAAAUGCAUAGAUAUCGUCAAGAACACCGAUAGCGAAGGCAGCUUACUGGGCUGUAACUGACGCUGAUGCACGAAAGUGUGGGGAUCAAACAGG